UACGUAGGGUGCGAGCGUUGUCCGGAAUUAUUGGGCGUAAAGGGCUCGUAGGCGGUUUGUCGCGUCGGGAGUGAAAACCUCGGGCUUAACUCGGGGCUUGCUUUCGAUACGGGCAGACUAGAGGUAUGCAGGGGAGAACGGAAUUCCUGGUGUAGCGGUGGAAAUGCGCAGAUAUCAGGAGGAACACCGGUGGCGAAGGCGGUUCUCUGGGCAUGGAUCUGACGCUGAGGAGCGAAAGUGUGGGGAUCAAACAGG
rnacentral:rRNA from 1 species